rnacentral:rRNA from 1 species
UACGUAGGGGGCUAGCGUUGCUCGGAAUGACUGGGCGUAAAGGGCGCGUAUGCGGUUUGCACAGUCAGGCGUGAAAUUCCUGGGCUUAACCUGGGGGCUGCGCUUGAUACGUGUUGACUGGAGUGCGGAAGAGGGUCGUGGAAUUCCCAGUGUAGAGGUGAAAUUCGUAGAUAUUGGGAAGAACACCGGUGGCGAAGGCGGCGACCUGGUCCGUGACUGACGCUGAGGCGCGAAAGCGUGGGGAGCAAACAGG